GGUUAAGCGACUAAGCGUACACGGUGGAUGCCCUGGCAGUCAGAGGCGAUGAAGGACGUGCUAAUCUGCGAUAAGCGUCGGUAAGGUGAUAUGAACCGUUAUAACCGGCGAUUUCCGAAUGGGGAAACCCAGUGUGUUUCGACACACUAUCAUUAACUGAAUCCAUAGGUUAAUGAGGCGAACCGGGGGAACUGAAACAUCUAAGUACCCCGAGGAAAAGAAAUCAACCGAGAUUCCCCCAGUAGCGGCGAGCGAACGGGGAGGAGCCCAGAGCCUGAAUCAGUGUGUGUGUUAGUGGAAGCGUCUGGAAAGGCGCGCGAUACAGGGUGACAGCCCCGUACACAAAAAUGCACAUGCUGUGAGCUCGAUGAGUAGGGCGGGACACGUGGUAUCCUGUCUGAAUAUGGGGGGACCAUCCUCCAAGGCUAAAUACUCCUGACUGACCGAUAGUGAACCAGUACCGUGAGGGAAAGGCGAAAAGAACCCCGGCGAGGGGAGUGAAAAAGAACCUGAAACCGUGUACGUACAAGCAGUGGGAGCACGCUUAGGCGUGUGACUGCGUACCUUUUGUAUAAUGGGUCAGCGACUUAUAUUCUGUAGCAAGGUUAACCGAAUAGGGGAGCCGAAGGGAAACCGAGUCUUAACUGGGCGUUAAGUUGCAGGGUAUAGACCCGAAACCCGGUGAUCUAGCCAUGGGCAGGUUGAAGGUUGGGUAACACUAACUGGAGGACCGAACCGACUAAUGUUGAAAAAUUAGCGGAUGACUUGUGGCUGGGGGUGAAAGGCCAAUCAAACCGGGAGAUAGCUGGUUCUCCCCGAAAGUUAUUUAGGUAGCGCCUCGUGAAUUCAUCUCCGGGGGUAGAGCACUGUUUCGGCAAGGGGGUCAUCCCGACUUACCAACCCGAUGCAAACUGCGAAUACCGGAGAAUGUUAUCACGGGAGACACACGGCGGGUGCUAACGUCCGUCGUGAAGAGGGAAACAACCCAGACCGCCAGCUAAGGUCCCAAAGUCAUGGUUAAGUGGGAAACGAUGUGGGAAGGCCCAGACAGCCAGGAUGUUGGCUUAGAAGCAGCCAUCAUUUAAAGAAAGCGUAAUAGCUCACUGGUCGAGUCGGCCUGCGCGGAAGAUGUAACGGGGCUAAACCAUGCACCGAAGCUGCGGCAGCGACGCUUAUGCGUUGUUGGGUAGGGGAGCGUUCUGUAAGCCUGUGAAGGUGUACUGUGAGG
rnacentral:rRNA from 1 species